rnacentral:rRNA from 1 species
UUAGGGAUCUUGCGCAAUGGCCGAAAGGCUGACGCAGCGACGCCGCGUGGGGGAAGACGGCCCUCGGGUUGUAAACCUCUUUUCCCGGGGACGAGGAUGGACGGUACCCGGGGAAUAAGCACCGGCUAACUCCGUGCCAGCAGCCGCGGUAAUACGGGGGGUGCGAGCGUUGUCCGGAUUUACUGGGCGUAAAGGGCGCGUAGGCGGCCGGGUCAGUCGGGCCUGUAAGUGCGGGGCUCAACCCCGUGAUGGGCUCGGGACGGCACGGCUGGGGCGCGGCAGAGGGAGACGGAAUGCCGGGUGUAGUGGUGAAAUGCGUAGAGAUCCGGCGGAACACCGGUGGUGAAGACGGUCUCCUGGGCCGAGAGCCGACGCUGAGGCGCGAGAGCGUGGGGAGCGAACCG